rnacentral:rRNA from 1 species
CUACGGGUGGCUCCAGUGAGGAAUAUUGCACAAUGGGGGGAACCCUGAUGCAGCAACGCCGCGUGGAGGAUGACGCAUUUCGGUGUGUAAACUCCUUUUAUAUGUCAAGAAAAUGACGGUAGCAUAUGAAUAAGCACCGGCUAACUCCGUGCCAGCAGCCGCGGUAAUACGGAGGGUGCAAGCGUUAAUCGGAAUCACUGGGCGUAAAGGACGCGUAGGCGGGUUGGAAAGUCAGGUGUGAAAUCCUACAGCUUAACUGUAGAACUGCACUUGAAACUUCUAAUCUAGAGUAUGGGAGGGGGAGAUGGAAUUAGUGGGGUAGGGGUAAAAUCCGUAGAUAUCACUAGGAAUACCUAAAGCGAAGGCGAUCUCCUGGAACAUUACUGACGCUAAGGCGUGAAAGCGUGGGGAGCAAACAGGAUUGAUACCCGAGUAGUC